rnacentral:misc_RNA from 1 species
AGCAGCCGCGGUAAUUCCAGCUCCAAUAGCGUAUAUUAAAGUUGUUGCAGUUAAAAAGCUCGUAGUUGAAUCUCGGGAUCAAUAUGUUGGUCGUGCCUCGGUACGUACUAGCUUAUUGGUUUCUCCUUUCUGAAGAACCAUGAUGUCAUUUAUUUGGUGUCGUGGGGAAUCAGGACUGUUACUUUGAAAAAUUAGAGUGUUUAAAGCAGGCUCACGCUUGAAUACAUUAGCAUGGAAUAAUGAAAUAGGACGUUUGAUUCUAUUUUGUUGGUUUCUAGGAUCGACGUAAUGAUUAAUAGGGAUAGUUGGGGGCAUUAGUAUUCAAUUGUCAGAGGUGAAAUUCUUGGAUUUAUUGAAGACUAACUACUGCGAAAGCAUUUGCCAAGGAUGUUUUCAUUAAUCAAGAACGAAAGUUAGGGGAUCGAAGACGAUCAGAUACCGUCGUAGUCUUAACCAUAAACUAUGCCGACUAGGGAUCGGAUGAUGUUAAUUUUUAAUGA